CAUAUAUCAACAUCACAUUCUACCCCAUAUAACAUAUACAAUAUUUGUGAAUAAAAAACAAAAUAAUUUUUUAAAAAUACAGAAAAAGCAGGAGGGGAGGGGAUCAGUGUGUUAUUAGGUCCAAUCUAAGGAACUCUGCUGUCCCAGGAGUUAGCAUGUUCAGUGAGAAAAUCACAGAUCUUGAAAUCCAACAGACCAGUGUUCAAAUCAUGAUUCAGUCAUUAAAAAAAAAAAUCCGGGGUAUCAGUGACCCCCACUUUGUCCCCUGGGCCUAAGCUGGAGCUGCCAAUGGAUGUUUGUCGAAGUCACUCUCAGUGAGGACUUGGUCCCAGCAACCGCUGCCCAUACCUGGGUCUCCUGGGGAAGGUCCCACCCUCGUUCCUGAACUCCACGCCCAGAGGAUCUUGGCCCAGGAGAGGAAAGCAGAGACCCAGGCCCGACCUUGUCAAAACCAAAAUGAGCACCACCCAGUCCUGUUUUGCUUUAGUCAUGUCUUCUGUGACAUGGUUGCACUGAAGUCUGAUUGGACAACGUGUCAUUCGUUGCUACCCCGGGGAGCCUGGCAUUUGGGGGCGUGGGGCGGGUUUGGCAUAACAUCCCGAUUUGCUGGAAGGCUGCUGUGCGGACUGAGAGAGAGCACUACUCACCGAAACACCCCUGUUCUCCCGUCUUCCAGGUAUGCGGUAGGAUCUCCCUUCCCACCCCACUGUGUGCGGGGGCCCGUGUGACAGUCUCUGUCCAGCAGGUGACUGCUGGAAGCCGCGGGAGUCACUUCGGAGUGGGGUGUUGACAGCGUGAAGCCCCUGAGCGCUCCUCCCCGCUCGGCCAUCCAGCAUUCGCGCCGGGGGCUCCGAGCGACUCCAGUCAACAGAGCUCCGCGGGGACCCAGGUGGACACGCAAUCCCAUGAUAAAUUACCCUGUGUCGUUAAUGCCGUUGAGAUUUGGGGGUUGCUUGUGAUUACGGCAUAACCCUGCCUCCUCAGGGGACACACUUAGAUGCUAAAACAUGGCACGCCACGUUCCCGGGGUGAUGCCUGAGUGAGAAAAUGCCUUUCUCUCCAUGAUGCGGCCAGAAAGCACUUCAGAGACCUUGAGUUCCAAUCUGUGCUUCGAGAAAAGGGCCAUAUCCAACUGGGGGUGAAUGCUGUUCAGAUCUGUGCAAAAUAAUCGAGGCUACACUUCCCACAGGGCUUGAGCUCAUGGACAUUGAAGAACCAGCAUUUCCCUUCAUCGGGCUCAUUUUAAAUCCCACGCUGCAUCCUCCAUGGCCCCCACCCACGCGAGAGCCUGCCCCUCCAGAGUUCUGCAGUGACAACCACGUGACUCCCUCCCCGGUGAUGCUGCUGUGGUGCGAUCUUGGCUCACUGGGGGGUGAUGCUACUGGUGACGGUUUCUCCCAGUGCCAAGGGUCGGCACCCCAGACCGCAGCUACGUUCAGGCACUCGGCAGGGGCUGGUUCUCUGAGGGAGGCCCUGGAAGGCCAGGGCUUAUCAAAGACAGGGUGGGGCUGGCACUGUGGUGCUAAGAUGAGGGGCAGCUGUGGGUGUGUGCGCCUUCUCAGACAGGUUCAUCUCUGCACCCCGUGGGUACAUGCUCCUUCUCAGUUGGGUUCAUCGUUGCACCCCGUGGGUACAUGCACCUUCUCAGACAGGGGUUCAUCUCUGCACCCCGUGGGUACAUGCGCCUUCUCAGAGGUUCAUCUAUGCACCCCCGUGGGUACAUGCGCCUUCUCAGACAGGGGUUCAUCUCUGCACCCUGUGGGUACAUGCGCCUUCUCAGAGGUUCAUCUCUGCACCCCCGUGGGUACAUGCGCCUUCUCAGACAGGGGUUCAUCUCUGCACCCCGUGGGUACAUGCGCCUUCUCAGACAGGGGUUCAUCUCUGCACCCCUUGGGUACAUGCGCCUUCUCAGACAGGGGUUCAUCUCUGCACCCUAUGGGUACAUGCACCUUCUCAGACAGGGGUUCAUCUCUGCACCCCGUGGGUACAUGCGCCUUCUCAGACAGGUUCAUCUCUGCACCCCCGUGGGUACAUGCGCCUUCUCAGACAGGGGUUCAUC
rnacentral:lncRNA from 1 species